CAACACGGAAGCUAAUGUUCAAUUUGUUGAUUUUAUCACCCGAAGAUGGAUUUAAAAGUUUCCAUUCAGUUAAUAUUUUUGUGCGUUGUGAACGUAAUGCUUAUUUGCGCAGGAAUGAUUUUAAACACAUUGGUGAUCGUCAGUUUUUGGAAAUCCUCGGCAUAUAUUCGAAGUAAAGUAAGUUAUUUCAUGAUCAUGCUGCUAUCGUGCUUCGACUUCCUUGUGGUCAUAACGAGUCAUCCGUUAAUUAUCGUUCGCCUAGUCUUCUGGUUAAAUGAUAAGCACCAUUUAUUAACUGUGACCGAGAUUUACCGGCGCUUUUCAGACAUUUUCAUUGGCUUUUCUAUCAUCGCACUUCUAGUAAUGAAUAUUGAACGAUAUUUGGGAGUAUACUAUCCUUUCUUUCAUCGAACAUCAGUGACCAGAGGCAGACUGCUAACACUCCUUGCUGUAUUAUGUAUUCUACCAAUUAUUGUAAUAAUGAUUUCUGUGAACGACGUGGUAAUAUCCUUGCCAGUGGCUAUAGUAAUUUUCCUUGCCAUUGUAUUUCCACCGAUUAUCUUUCUCAACUACAAGUUGUUUAAGAUUUCCAGAAAAAUGCGACGCGACAACACAGCAACACCCGAGGUAUCAACCUUGCAUGUUAAUUUAAAGAAAAUUUCCACCUGUUUGUUGGCAGUUGCCUGUCUCAUGUUGAUGUACACUCCUGCUUUCUUCUUCAUUGCGUUUAACUUCGCUGAGAAAUGGACGUCAGAAAAUACGAUGGUGUCUCGGUUUUGGUCCGCCACUGUGGCUACUGCGAAUUCCACAUUGAACUGUGUGAUCUUUUUCUGGAAGAAUGGCGUUUUGCGCAGGGAAGGAAUAAAGGUACUGAAGAGCUUGAAAAACCGUCUUUUCCCAUGCUAAAGUUGUCCCAGUUUAAAUUAUCGAUGUUUGCCUGUUCUGUAAAGCGAAUUAUUCAUAUUCUGCACAUAUAACACGUCUUUAUUUAUUUUAUAUAGGCUAAGCUAGGAUAAAAAAACAGCCACGCACAAAUGCGAUGAGUAUAUAACAUACAGCUAUUUCAAUUAAGGUUGUCCACGAGCAAAGCGGAAAAGUCGAAUACGAGCGCGAAAGGCUGCUGGGAAUCGCUAUGAAAAUUCAUUAAUUUGUUAGCGAUUCCCAGCAGCUUUUCGCGCUCGUAUUUGCCUUUUACGCUUUGCUCGUGGACAACCUUAAUUGAAAUAGCUGUAUAUAGAAAACAGAGAAAUUAAUAUAGAAUUGUAAGUGAGAAUUACCCGAACCGCUGAGUUUUAUAACUCUGUCCCUAUUUAGUCUAGCCUUGAUAUAUCUGAUUCAUAUAAGUCUGGGAAAAAGGAUAAAUGAGAAACAUCUGUGGGCUUACCGACAAGAUUGAUGAAUAUUGAAUUGAUUUGCGUGCUUUGUAAAUAUGGUUAAUUUAAAGCUUUCAUCCACUUGUACAUGUAUAUGUAAUUUAAAGCUUUCGUCCACUUGUACAUGUAUGAUUUAUGUAAUACGUUUUUGCUGCUAGUCGUAUAAGGCUAUUUAUCUGAUGAGUGCCACAUCUUGUGGUACAAUGCUCAAAAAUAUUAAAAAUGCCUAUGGACCAGCCUUGAUGUUUAAUGUCGAAAAUAUCUAAUUCUAUAUGUUGGAAUUGCAGCUGUGAUUUUGACGGAAAAUGUGCACCAUGUAAACUUUGUAUUUUGAAUCCAC
rnacentral:lncRNA from 1 species